rnacentral:rRNA from 1 species
GACAGAGGAUGCAAGCGUUAUCCGGAAUGAUUGGGCGUAAAGCGUCCGUAGGUGGCUUCUUAAGUCCGCUGUCAAAUCCCAGGGCUUAACCCUGGCCAGGCGGUGGAGACUACUAAGCUUGAGUACGGUAGGGGCAGAGGGAAUUUCCGGUGGAGCGGUGAAAUGCGUAGAGAUCGGAAAGAACACCAAGGGCGAAGGCACUCUGCUGGGCCGACACUGACACUGAGAGACGAGAGCUAGGGGAGCAAAUGGG